UACAGAGGGACCUGUUGGGGGUGGGGGUGGGGGAAAGACUGACAGAGACAGAGACACCAUGAAGACCAUUCUUUGGCUGAGUCUGUAUCUGUCUCUCAGCUUCCUUUCUCUUCCUACCUGCUCUAAAUUCACCCUCCCUUCAUCUUUCUUUUACUUGAUUUAGCAGAGAACUAAGAUGUGCUCUAGCUCACUAGAACAUAUAUCCUAAAAUAAGUCUUGCAUUUUAAAUAUCAUUCUUGUCUCUUCAAAUCUCCAAACCCACCAAGUCCACCACUGUAAAAUACAAAUAGUAGAAGUUUUAAUUCCAUUUUUCCAUGGUAAGAGCCAGUCCCACCCCAGGCAAAUUCUGUGACCAGCUCCUUUUCUCUCUAGGUGGCUGGCCUUGAGUCUAGCAGGCUGUGUCAUUUGGCAUCUUGCUUACUGGGUACUCAUUUAAAAAAGUAUCUGUGGUUCUGGGGAAUAGAUGUUGUGAAAUGGAGUGAAAAGGACUUGCAGUCUGAAACUAGUGGCCUUUUCCUCCCCUCAUGUGUGAGUAAGCCUCCCUGACAGAAGUGGCUUUUUCAAAGGUGAAAAACAACUGAGAUAUAUGGACAGGCCUAUUGGAGAAGGGCAGGGACCGCCUGUAGCCAAUGCAGACGGUCAGAUGAUUCCUAGAUCUCUUCUAGGCUGGCAGACAGGCUAGACAGGAAGGAAAUGGAAAGAGACACAGCGAGAGGCCAGGGUGGGGUGCAGAGUAUAGGCAGGCUGGCCCACUGGGAGACUUUCUAUGAACACUGAGUUUUAUGCCAGUAUGAACAUAACCCCCGUGUCCAGCAAAAGAUGGCCAGUGAAAGCCUGUGCUCACUUCAGGGUCACAUGCAUACACACUGAGGAAGAUGGAGGGGCAUUUUCUCUGAAACAGAAUUCUGCUUCUGAGGGCCUUGACCACUCACUGUGUUUUAGGAAGCCACCAGAAAAAUAUCCCUGUCAGUUGCUCAUAGUCAAAUCAAAUUUUUGUCCAGAAGCCUACUUAUGUUUGGACCAGUCUCUUCUUGUAACUCCUGAAGAGUGAGGGAGGGUUGGAGGCACAGCCUAAGGGUGACACUGCACAUGGCCACGUCCUGAGCCCCGUGAGUGCAGAGCCAGUGAGUUCAUGUGUAGCUUUUGUAAGCACAAAAACAGAGGGUGGGCUGUCAAACAGGCCUCCCAUCACUUUCCAGGCUGAAGAGGUCAGAGGAAUUAUGACACUGUGGCUUAGUGGCAAAGGCGUAUAACACUAAGGACUCUUACUUUCUGAUCUGACAGGACUGAAGCACCUGGGGAGCCUGGCCAACCCAGUUUGACCUAACCCAAGCCUCCAAGGCUCCUCAUGGAUCACAAGGGGCCCUUGGGUUUCCUGGGAGGCUGCACAGGAGACCUGACCUCCCUGAGGUCCAGACCCGCUGCUUCUCCACAACCACAGAGAGCUACAGAAGCCAGGUCACAGUCUGAUGCAGCCACUCGAGCUGCUAACACGCCAGCCACCUUGCUAGUGCCAGAAAUCUGUCUUUAAGCUUCUGGUGUGGGUGAGUGGAUGAGACUCCUGGCCAACAAACACCAGAACUGAAGAAGGAAUAGAAACCCUGACUAAGACAGCUACUGACAUGUGUAAAGGACUAUGAAGAUGGUCUCUGUGCUACAGACACCAGUGGUUUCAUGCUUGAAGCUGGAGUUCCUCUCAACACUCCCCACCCCCCAACCCCCCUGCUUUAUGGUACUGUGGGUGCUACUGUUGAAGGCACGGGGAAGGCAAGAUCAAAGUGGAAGAGAGGAGCACAGGAGAAGGCACUGUCAAGGAGCCCAUGGACAAACUGCCUGGAGGCAGACAAAGGAGGAGAAGCAGCCCAGGAGAGGUGGUCCGCCUCUAACACAAGCAUGUGAGCAGUCUGAGGACGAUGAUCUGUGAGUACCUGGUGAACAACUGAAAGAACUAAGAGGUGUCAACAUAAGCCAGAGGAUGUGAUUUUGCAUCUGCACUGUUCUCUGCAAGGAUCACGGUCAGCCAUAAGGAACCAGGAGCUGGUAAAGGCAAUGCAAUUCUCAUUUUUGCACACUGAUAUGGGGAGGGCAUGUCCCCACGGAUGAACUGAAGUUGUGGUGAGAUUAGGGCUGGGAGGGCCAGGCUUCAUCCAGACAGUGGAUGCAUUUCUGGAGAGGAAGUGCUCAUAGAGUGAGGCCCUGGUGGUCAGCACAGCUGUAGGUCAGGGGUGGCGGGGUAUGGCUGCACACCUCUGUGUGUAGAAAGAGACACCCUAGAGGGCUUGAGAGUGAGGACAAAAAAGCCACAGUGGGCAGAAUAAUUCCUUAGGCCCAAGCUUCAUCUCAGUUUUGCUUUCCUGUCCAGAGUGGGGACUUUAUAGUGUGGGGACGUCACACAUGUAACAGGGAGCCAUCUGCUUUAAGCUAAAUGUUCCUCUUCAGACGGAACUUUCUAGGACAAGGCUAAAACUGCUCCUCAGAAGAUGAACGUGACCUAAGCAACCACACUGUGCUGAAGGGGAUGAGCAAGCCAGGGCCAACGCCUUAGCACACAGGCAACACCAUCUGUACUCCACUGUAACCUGGCCCGAGAGUGAGAUGAGAAACAGAUGCAGAAAUGGUAU
rnacentral:sRNA from 1 species